UACGUAGGGUGCAAGCGUUGUCCGGAAUUAUUGGGCGUAAAGAGCUCGUAGGCGGUUUGUUGCGUCGGCUGUGAAAUCCCGAGGCUCAACCUCGGGUCUGCAGUCGAUACGAGCAAACUAGAGUGUUGCAGGGGGAGACUGGAAUUCCUGGUGUAGCGGUGAAAUGCGCAGAUAUCAUGAGGAAUACCAGAGGCGAAGGCGGCUCUCUGGGACGGUACUGACGCUGAGACGCGAAAGCGUGGGGAGCGAACAGG
rnacentral:rRNA from 1 species